CCUGUUGUAAAACCUAUUCCUGUUCCAAUAUAUAAACCUACACCAAAAUUAAUUCCCAUCAUUAAACCAAUUCCAAUUGUUAAACCUGUACCAAAACCUUUUACAGUGCAAAAACCCAUCCCCGCUAUUGACCCAGAGUCUUUUCUAAAGCCGAAGCCUUUCUUUGAGAAACCUAUUCCUAAAUUGCCACUUGACCCUAAAUUCAAGAAACCACUUCUGCCACCUUUCCCAAUUCAAAAGCCAAUUUCAAGUCCAUAAGAUGAUAAGACUUUACCACCUCUCACUAAAAAAUAUCUUGCUUAGACGAUCUAUUUCUAACUCCUAUUUAUGUGCUCUAUAUCUCAAAAUUAUUAGUUGCACUUGAUAAUCCUAGGGUAUCUCUCUUUAUGUUGGAAUACCUAUAUAGUUAAUGUUAUCUCCUCAAUAAAGUUCUCAAUAUUUGCGGUUGUUAAUCAAUUUUAUAUUAAUACAAUUACAAAGAGUGGGUUGAUUUUCCCUUUUUAAAAUAACAUUUUUUAAUUUUAUUAUAUUUUUGUGAGAUUAUAUUUUGAGCAAGGAUACUCGUAAAUCGUAAUAAACUAAAUAAUCACGAGAAAAAAAUAUGCCUGUGUUAUAAGCUAAAACAAAUGCAUACUCAUUUGUUUCUUAAAAGCAACAUAAUAUAUUGCAAACUAAGUAUAACUUUAAGUUUGGUCAAAUAUUAAAAAAGUAUAACUUGCUAAUAUAUUCAUUCUCGAAUGAGAGUAUAUUAACAGUUUUAAAUACUAUGUAGGGAUUAUAUUCUGACACUAGGUACUUUAACAAAUGACAUUGUUUUAAGCAUUUAACAUUUUAGUGACAUAAAAAAUGUCACCAAAAGAUUUUAGGAACAUUUUUAAAGGUAUGUGUAGUAGUGUAACUACAUGUAUAUUAAUUAAGAAAGGGUGGGAUACACUACAUUAUUUUAGCAUUUAACAAAGUUUUACUCUUGUUAUUAUAAAAAAUAAAAAUAAAAAUAAAAAUAAAAACGUUCUCAUUGAGAACAAUGAUCUCCACGCGGUAAUUUGAAAGUAGGAAUCAGUAACUUGCAAAUAAAAUGACCCCCGAAAGGACACAUUGCUGGCAGAAGGCCAACUCAGUUUUAAAGAGUGUUGUUAUGAAAAAAUAUUGUUGCUGAGAGUGAUGAUCCCGACAUGGUACUUAGAAAGGAGGGAUAGGUAACAUGCACACAAAUACUACCAAUUACAAAUUACAAAUUACGUACUGCACAUUAAACUUGUACCAAAACACUAGAAAUUUCAUAAUAACGACCAAUUCAAUUUUAAGGAGUGUCAUUAUUAUGAAAAAUGUUGUCAUUGAGAGUGGUGGGUUCAGCGCACUACUUAAGAAGGAGGGAUCACUAGCUUGAACAAGAAAGGAUAUUAGAAAUUUCAUAGUACUGGCUGUUAGAUGACCAACUCAAUUUUAAUUAUUGUUGUUAUUUUAAGGGGAGUUCAAAUGGCAGACACAAGAAAAAUAAUAUAUUUAAAUCUCUUUAAUUUAAUAGUUAUUUAAUUUUUAGAAAAUUUCUUUCAAAUAAAAUAUUUAAUGAUGAAAAAAUAAAUACCUCUUAUAUUUUAAUAUAUCGAAUUUAAAAAAUUUUACUAACCAAAAGUAUCCUUAAAAAGAAAUGUGAAUGGACAUGUUUGCAGAAGACACAUUUCAAAUGUUAAAAAAGUAGAAAAAUACAUGGAAAUAGAAUAAAUUUAGAUGUCUUUUACUUAAUAAUUAUUUAAUUUUUACAAAAUUUGUUUCAAAUAAAAUAUUUAAUGAUGAAAAUCGUAAAUAACUUUCAUAUUUUAAUAUAUUAAAUUAAAUCAUUUUAUUUUCCGAAAUUCCUAUUAAAGUAUCAAGAAAAUGCAUUACAGAUGGACAUGUUUAUGUUUGAAGACACCUUUCAAACCUUAAAAAUAAUAUGGAAAUACUAAGUACAUUCAAGUUAAUAAUUUUUUUACAACACAAAGGUCUUGAACAUAAAAUACCUGUUUAGCUUGUUCUGUCAUGAUGAAAGGGUCAUUCUGGUAAGCUAGUUUCUUUAGGUCUAUCAACGUAAAUCCUACAUCAUCGAUCCGCACACCGGUGUUUACAGAUGGACAUGUUUAUGUUUGAAGACACCUUUCAAACUUUAAAAAUAAUAUGGAAAUACUAAGUACAUUCAAGUUAAUAAUUUUUUUACAACACAAAGGUCUUGAACAUAAAAUACCUGUUUAGCUUGUUCUGUCAUGAUGAAAGGGUUAUUCUGGUAAGCUAGUUUCUUUAGGUCUAUCAACGUAAAUCCUACAUCAUCGAUCCGCACACCGGUGUUGCUGUCAAUCCAUUUAGAUUUGAAAACACAAACAAUAAAUUUGACAUAGUUAAGCUCCCAAAUUUCAUCAAUGAACCCAAAAUAAGGGAUGGAAGCUACACAGGGAUUAUCAUCAUGUACACUAGCAAAGUGUUGAGAUUCAACCCUUAGGGUGACCCCACUGUUUUGCAUUGUACUUUUCUCAUCUUGUGCUUUUGUAUAAAAGGAAUACUUGUUUAUGUCGUAUCCUUGCCAAGUUAUAACAUUUCUUUUAGGCCCAUGUGCUAGCUUUCUUAAUGUUUCAGAAGCAUUUUCAUCAGCAAAGAUUGUAUCUUUAAACCAAUCAAAGAAAGUCUUGUUAUGCUUUUUCAAGACCCAAUUCUUUGACAUUUUUGGAUUACUUUGUUUGACUAAACCUUCAUGCUGAAGUAUGUAUGGCAAAACUUCAUUACUGUUAUUCAAGACAUACAAGUGAGCUUGUAACAAAUCUUCUACACUUGGAGUGAUAACAUGCAGUCCUCUUGAAUCCUUACUGCCCACUCUGUCAUCAUGCCGAGACUCGGGAAGCCCAACAAGUUUAGCCUUUUCAAUGUACUCUGAACAAAAUUCAAUGGCUUCUUCUGCAAUGUACCUUUCAACAAUAGAUGCUUCGGGACGAUGUAGAUUCUUCAUAUACCCUUUUAAGAUCUUCAUGUAUCGCUCAACCGAGUACAUCCACCGCAAAUAAAUAGGACCACAACAUUUGAUUUCUCUAAUCAGAUGAACAAUUAAGUGAACCAUGAUGUCAAAGAAAGCAGGAGGAAAAUACAUCCAACUAGCAUAGUAUAAUUGUAGCCUCAUUUUCCAGGUCAUCAAACUUGACAUGAUCAAGGACUUUGCUACAUAUGGCAUUGAAAAAAAAAGCACAGGCAAGUUAUGACUAACCUGACUUUGUUAGGCAAAAUUUCUUGUAUGGCCACGGCUAACAAUUGUUGCAUCAAGACGUGACAAUCGUGAGACUUUAACCCUACCAGCUUAAGCUCCUUCAACUGCACAAGGCUCUUCAUAUUUGAAGAGUAUCCUUGUGGGACUUUGACCCGCCACAGACACUGAUAAAAACUUAUCUUCUCCUUUUUCAACAAAGUAUGACAAGCUGGAGGCAAGUAUAAUUUUUUCCCAUCAGACCUUGGAUGCAACUGCGAUCGUAUGCCCAACUCAGCUAGAUCUUGACGGGUAUUCAAGCCAUCUUUCGUCUUGCCUUGAAUGUUAAAGAGCGUCCCAAUGACACUAUCACAUACAUUUUUCUUCAUAUGCAUAACAUCAAUACAAUGUCUAAUGUCAAGGUCAGACCAGUAUGGAAGAUCAAAGAAAUAGACCUCUUCUUCCAUAUGCAAGUCUUACUUUUUUCCUUCUUUUGGGUCUUUCCAAAUAUAGUAUUCAAGUGUUGAAUCCGCUAGAAGUCCUGCUCACCAGUCAACGGUAUCAGCACAGUUUCGUGUUCUUGACUUCCAUUAAAUGCUUUUUUCAAUCGCCUGUAAGGAUGAUGAGGUUUUAAAAAAUGUUGAUGCCUAGUGUACACUAUUUUUUUUACCAUGUUUCAGUUAUAUGUAGCUUGUGUCUUCUUCACAGAUGGGGCAUGCAUGAUGACCCUUAACACUGUAACCACUUAUAUUUCCAUAUGCUUGAAAGUCAUUAAUGUUACAAAAAAGCAUUGCACGCAUUUGAAAAGUCUCAUUUUGAAACCCAUCAAACACUAAACCCCCCUCAUCCCACAACUUUGUCAGGUCUUCAAUCAAUGGACUUAGAUAAACAUCAAUGUCAUUUCUUGGCUGUCUUGGGCCCGAUAUCAUCAUAGACAACAUCAUGUAUUUUUGCUUCAUGCACAACCAAGGAGGAAAAUUAUAAAUUACUAGUAGAAUUGGCCAUGAACUGUGUUGAGUGCUUAAAUUACCAUAUGGAUUCAUUCCAUCACUGCCUAGUCUAAGCCUAAGAUUUCUUGCCUCUUGCCGAAAUCCAAAAACAAAUGAUCUAUCUUCUUCCACUGCGAGCAAUCAGCCGGAUGACGGACCAUUCCAUCGCAUUUUCUCCCUAUUGCAUGUCAUGUAAGGUCUUUAGCGUCGUCUCCAUUAGCAAAAAGAUGCUUAAACCUUAGAACAAUCGGCAGAUACCACAACACCUUCAUUGGGGGGCCCUUCUUUGAGUUUUCAUCACUACUACACUUCUCAUCAUUCUUCACUUUGUACCAUCAUAACCCACACCUAGGGCAUUUGGACAUUUCUUCAAAUUUAUGUUUGUACAGUAUGCAAUCAUUCGGGCAAGCAUGAAUCUUCUAAUACUCCAUACCCAUAGGACACAGUACCUUUUUUGCCUGAUAGUAACUUUUAGGCUACGUGUUUUCCUCUGGAAGCAUAUCGUGCACUACUUGAACCAGUGAAAUAAAGCUUUUGUCACUCCACCCAUAUCUGGACUUGACAUUAACUAGACUUAACACCGUAGACAAUAGUGUCAACGAAUUCUUGCACCCCGGAUACAAAGGCUUCUUUGAAUCAGUUUGCAAUGUAUCAUACAUAGGGGCAUGUGUUUGUUAAAAAGACUCUUGUCCAAGGUCACGAAUCAUAUCCUCCAAGCCAUCUCCCAUUUCUACAUCAAACGGUUCAGAUUGGGGCCCACUUUAGUUGUCUGUCAUUCCACCAUGCCAUAUCCACGUUGUAUAAUUCCUCUUGAUUCCAUUACACAACAGAUGGUCUCGUAUGUCAUCAACUUUUUGCCAUCUCCCGUUCAAACAAUUUAUGCAUGGACAAAAAAACUUGUCAUUUUCAUCUAGUCGACUUCUUUCUGAAGCAAAUUGCAGGAACUGUUCAACGCCUUCCUCAUAUGCAGAGCUCAAUCGGCUUUCAUUCAUCCAACUUCGAUCCAUCUAAAUAAUAACUGAUUCAUACUCUGAAACUCAUUCAAUGCAUGAUAUCUCACUUUUUCAUUUAAGGUGUGGCCCUAUCCCAUUCAGGAAGACACAUUUUUAUGGUAGAUUCAGGCGUUAAGAUUAAUCUUAUUUUGUUAAAUUUGAUAAAAUUUUGACAGCAUUUCACAUUGGUCUCCAAGUACACGAUACAAAAUCGGUGACAUUAAUUUGUCGAUAAUCAUGUAUGCACUUAGAGAACAACUAGAGAUGCAUUGUACCAUAAUUUCAUCAAAUUAAACAAAAUAAUGUUAACCUUAACACAUGAAUCAACCAUAAAAAUGGGAGUCUCCCCAAACUGUCCAAACGGACAAUUUAAGAUUGAAUACAAUGAUUAAUGCACACUUUCUGCAAGAAUCAUUGUAUUCAAUCUCAAAUGGGAAUCUAAGGCUAACUCAUUAUGAAAAAAAGUUUAAUCUAAAGCAAAGCACAUUAAUGACAUACAAUUUAAAUACAGUGACAUCUAACACAACACAAUAGAUCGGUAAGAACCCUAACCAAACAAGAAAGCAAUGGACGCUAAGUUAGAGCAACAGACGGUGGAGGUAUCCACUCUCGUCACACGUGCCGCUCAUGAUAAGUCCUCUGAUUCGUUAGCAUCGCUAACGAAACCAACGAGUUAUCAUGAGCAACGGGUGUGACGAGAGUGGAUACCUCCACCGUCUGUUGCCCUAACUCGGCAGCCAUUACUUUCUUAUUUGGUUAUGGUUCUUACCGAUCUAUUGUGUUGUCUUAUAUCUGAAAAGAGAAACUAGCUAACUAAUCGAAACCAGCGGUAUAUAUAUAUAUAUAUAUAUAUAUAUAUAUAUACAUACAUACAAGUCCGUACGUACGUACCUAGAAUUGCUAUAAUCAAAGACCUUCCAGAGCAACACGAAUUACCAGUAGCAAAUGAUAACCUGGCAAAAUGUGAAACAAAAUUUAAUGAUUUAUAUUACAAAUUGCCAAGUAGUUAGUUAUUUACCAAGUACAUUACAUCUAGUAGCUUCUAUUUCUAUUCUUUGGUAAUUUACUCUCCUUGCCAAUUUUCCUUCUAUUUACUAAACUUAAUAUUUAUUAGUUUAUUCCUUCUUAAUCUAGUUUUUUUUCAUCGGCCAGUUGACUCACUAAGUAACCCACUAUUUGGUUCAUUGUCACCUAACUAACUAACAGACCUAUGAAACAGCCUCUUAAGUUGCAGCGCCGGGGGCAAUGCUACUAUUUCAUUGCCAGGGGCAUCAAUUGAGUGAUUUGGGUGGUAGGGAGUGAUGUAGCUCCGUUGGAGCUUGUAGGCCUUGGAUCUUCUUCAUCAAUGAAGUCCUUUGCUUCUUAAAUUUUAAUGGCAGCGGAAUGGAGAAGAAGAGGAGUUGAGAGGAGACACCACUUAAAGGAGAAUAUGAGUCAAGAAGAAGCUCACCACCAUAGGAAGCCAUGAAUAAGAGCUUGGAGGUAGGAGAAGAAGAAUGGAGGGAGAAGAAGAGAGAGAUCACGAAAUUUGUGCCUCAAAAGAGGUCUGAACUUUGAAGUGUAAUUCUCAAAUGAUCAAAGUUAAAAAAUGCACACACAUGGCCUCUAUUUAUAACCUAAGUGUCACAUAAAAUUGGAGGGAAAUUUGAAUUUCUAUUUAAAUUUUACUUGAAUUUGAAAUUGAAUUUGUGGAGCCAAAAUUUCACUAAUUAUGAUUAGUAAAUUUUAGUCUUGGUUCAGCCCACUAAUCCAAGAUCAAGUCCAAGAUUCUCCACUAAGUGUGCUUAGGUGUCAUGAGACAUGUAAAGCAUGAAGGACAUGCACAAGUGUGACUAUACGAUGUGGAAAUGAGGUGUAGCAAGUAAAUGUUCACCUCCCCCUCUAAAAUUUAAUUGGAUUAGGCUUCUCCCAAUUCAAUUAAAUUUAUUUACCAACACACACAUCAAAUAUUCACUCAAUGCAUGUGAAAUUACAAAACUACUCCUAAUACAAAAACUAGUCUAGCUGCCCUAAAAUACAAGGGCUGAAAAAUCCUACAUUUCAAGGGUACCCUACCUACAUUAUGGAGCCCUAAAUACAAGGUCCAAAAAUAAUGAAACCUUAAUCUAAUAUGUACAAAGAUAAGUGGGCUCAUACUUAGCCCAUGGGCCCGAAAUCUAUCCUAAGGCUCAUGAGAAUCCUAGGGUCUUCUCUUGCAUCUCUGGCCCAAUCUACUAGGAGUCUUCUAUCCAAUGCCUUUGCGGGGUAGGAUUGCAUCAGGGAGGUUGCAGCCCCAGGGACAGUGCUACUGAUUCUUGUCAAACCAUAAGGGGCAUGAUUAUGCUUGGUUUUUGCUUGUUGGGUAUAUCUAAAUAAAAUAAUAUAUAACAAAAUUCUCAUCAAGCCAUGUAGUAAUUGCUACUGAAUUGUAGAAUUGAGCAGCUCAAAACAGUGUUGAUUCUUCUUCCCCAACCUUGGAGGAUAAUGAAAUCUUUCAUUCUGAUAAGCAAUAUCAUGUAGAAGAAGAAUCAAUGGCAGAAGGUUCAAAAGAUCAAGUUUUAUUGAGUAGCAAUUCAUAUUGUUUUGGUGGGUCAGAUAAUGGUAUGAAAGGCAAUGUUCUAAAAAAUGAAACAUUGAAGAAUAUGAGGUCUGUAAGAGAGCAAUAGAAAAUGAAGUGAACCUCCUGAAUUUAGAGAGCACCGAUUUAGAUAAAGGGUCCUAUGAGCAGAGACCAUCAUCAUUUGCCCCCAAAGCCUAUGAGAUGGAAGGCUCUUGCAGCUCUAAGAUUAACAACACCAAAAACGACAGCAACUUGAUGUCCAAUUGUUCCAACAAAGACAUGCUCCUAGACAGCUACACCACUAGUUGGCAACCCUGAGAUUUGAUGUGAAAUUACCCUCUUAAUAUCAAAAACAGAAUGAAGAGAAAGAAUAGAAAAGUGUUGUGUGCUGUAAGGGAGAGGAAAGGUAUUGCAAAUUUGUCAACUGAGUGGGAGAAGAAAGGUGUCUCUUGAAGAUAAGAGAAGGCAAAAAAAACCUCAUGAAAUGAAGGUUUUCUAUGCACUGGAUAAUGCAAUAGAACCCACAAAAUUGCGAGCCUUCAACUUUCAGAAAAAUGACAAUCUCACAAGCAAGCUAGUUUGUUCUUCAACCCUCUGGUAUAAUCCCACUCUGCAGCAAUCCUACACUGAUACUACCUAAUGUACAAUUGUAAAUGCUCGAGCUAGUUAGUAAAAAUACUAAUAGCAUCAUAGCAACACAUAAAUACCACUAUCCUUGUUACGGGUGAAAAGAUUUUAAAAUUUUCAUCAUAAUAUCAAAUACACGUGUAUGGAUUGCUUUAGUACAGAUAUUUGAACUUACAAAAUUAUAAAUUGAUUCCUACAUUUUUCUUGGUAAACCAGACUCAGGCCAAUUGAGAUAUUCUGGGAAUUGAAGUUGCUUAAUCAAGGUCUGGAAUUACUAUUUCCCAAUAAACUAUGCUCUUGGUAUUCUUGAAGAAAAUGGAAUGGUGAAUUGUAAACCAUUAGAUAAUCCCACAUAUCAAGAUAUUGGAGUUUGGCAGAAAGCUAAACUAAUCCAAGUAGAUAUUGGAGUUUGGCAGAAAGCUAAACUAAUCCAAUUGUAACAAGACCAACCAUCUUUUGUUGUAAGUGUGGUCAUUAGAAUGCAAAUGUCAUAAUUCUGAUAUUUCUUAGAGGAUCACUAGUAAAAGGAUUUAUUAGUGUUUUUGAACAGAGGGCAUAAGGAGAUUAUUACCUAUACUUAGUAGGAGAUCUACCUAUGGAUAUUGUGUUCUAUUUGGAGUGAAUCUCUUUCAUGGAAAACCUUAAGAAGCAAAAUAUGGUUGCAAGGUCCAGAGCUGAAGCAAAAUAUCAAGCUAUGACUCUCACUACUUAUGAACUAAUAUGUCUAAAAACAAAUAAAUGACUCAUUAAAGAGCUAAAAUUUUGUGAGGUUGGAAUUGAGACACAUUUGUGAUAAUCAAGCAGCCCUUCAUAUUACAUCUAACCCAGUUUUUUAUGAGCAUACCAAACAUAUAGAGAUCGAUUACCUUUUAUAUUUCUGAGAAGAUAGACUCCAGAUAAAUUAGGACAUAUUUUGUUAACUUCAAAUAAUCAAUUGGUUGAUCUGCUCACUAAUGCUCUUUAUGGACAAGGGAUUUCUUAUUUCUAGCCAAAACAAUAAAAUUAAAGGCAAGAAAAAAUUACCUCAAGACAAGGGAAAGAGGUUUUAAUGUCACUCACACCGGUCCAUGUUCAUAGCAUAUAGGAUCCUGCAUGUAAAACAAAUAAUUCUCUAAAAUGAAGUUAAGUAAACAACCACUUAAUUGAAAAGAUAUAUCCUGAAGGUAACUGUAACAGCUAGUGUUUGGUAUAUUGAGUUCAAUCAAGAAAUAUGCAAACCCCUAGUAGUGGAAUACCUGUUGGAGUAGUGAUCAAUGCCGGGAAAUUGAUGACGUCUAUCCCUUGGUCAUCGAACUUGUACUAGAGAUGGUAGUUGUCUGCAAAUAUCAAAAAGACUCGAUGUCAUGCUACAGAGGGAAAAUGGUGGAAGGUAUUAUACCAAUUUAUAGGGCAUAUGUCAACAAUUAUUGUUUGUCAAUAGAAAAUGAUGCUAAGGUUGACAAGAAUAUGAAAUAUACGGUGCAGAGUUUGGAGAACAAGAUUAGGUCUCUAUUUUAGCCGAAGCAGAGGAAAGGUAGUAGCAUUAAAUAGGCACACUUGAUUAGUAAAAUAAAAGAAGUCAGUCAUCAAUUUCGCUUGACUCUAGCUUCUCUAUAAUGCUUUUCCUUGUACUUGCAAUUACAGACUUGACUGUAGCUACUCUAUAAUGCUUUUCGCUUGACUCUAGUUGCUCUAUAAUGUUUGGAGAACAACUACUACUACUAACAAUUACAGACCUGACUCUAUUGAAUCUGUAUUGAUGACUUUGCCUUCAAUUUCAUCAAGUAUAGUCAGUGCCUGAAUGAAGAAACAGGUAGUUCUAUCUAGCUCUGUACUUGGUCUUAAGAUUCCAAAGCUAAGUAAACAUUAAUUCUUGUGCAAAACUAAACAAUAUCCAGUCAGUCAAAUGGGAUGUUUCCCUUAGUACUAUGGCAAAGGGUUUGUUGUGUCCAGUGUUUUAUGCCAAACCCUUUGUAAAGUAAAUAUGAGGUUAAUUGCAUAAAAAAGUGAAAUAAAGCUCAGAGUAGGCAAUCCUAUCUUAAAUCUUACCCUUUCCUUGAUGUCACCCAAAGUCGGCAAGUACAGCUUAUAGAAUUCCUCUCUGAAUGCAACCACAAACCUAAAUAAACUUUAGAAACCACCAAGAAUAAGACAAUUAGGAUUCGUUUGAUUUGUAUAAAUUUAAGGGACAACACAACAAAAUAUUACAUAUGCAUACAUUCAAACUUUAUUGACUCACUAAUCUUAUAUUUCCUCAAUGUGGGUGUUAGACAGAAACCAAACUAGGAUACAUCUACUAUUUUUUUCUUUUAUAUAUGUGAGGGAUUCGAAGAGUGUCAAGAUACCUAUACUACAUUAUAGUAUUUUCACUUUUAAAGGACUAAAGACGAGUAAUUGACCAUUAUCAUGUAUAGGGAUAACAACAUUUUAGGCCUUCACUGUGUUUUGUUCGAAAUCCUGGGGUCUAUAAAAACCCUCAACUAAUUAUAGGAAAAAAAACUAUUCAUAUGGAACUAAUUUAUUUUCAAAGUUUUGGACUAUACAAAUUUGACACAAACAUUCGAAGAAUCGAUAAGUUGUCAUGAUUGAGAGUGAAUGGAAACCAUAUUCCUUAUGCACACAAUGUUGUUGUAGUGACGUACCUCAAUCACGACAGAGACAAACUCGUUUAUGGUAGUUGUGGCUUCAACGACAGUCACAGGGUCAGGAAGAAGGAGAAAGGAGAAAGGAGAAAAGGGUUUGAGCGCGCGGGGGCCAAAAUGAAUUUGUGUUUUAAUUUAUGAAAAGAACAACAUCAAUUUUUUUAACAUAACUAAUGUUAACAUGAAGUACUUAAGAUCGGUUUUUUAAAACCCGAUGUUAACCUCAAGUACUUAACAUCGACUUUAUAAUGAUCGAUGUUAACCUCAUAUAGUUAACAUCGAGUUUUAAAAAACCGAUGUUAAUUAUAUGAGAUUAACAUCGGUUUUUGUCAAAACCGAUGUUAACUACUUGAUAUUAACAUCGGUUAUUUAAAUUUAAAUAAUCGAUGUUAAUCUCAAGUAGUUAACAUUGAUUUUGACAAAACCGAUAUUAACUAACUCGAUUUAUUUACGAAAAUAUCACCGUACUUUUCUUAACAUCGAGUUUCUAAAAAAUCAAUGUUAAUCGUGCGAUGUUAAAUCUAUAUUUUAUAAUAGUAAUAAUAUAUAUAUAUAUAUAUAUAUAUAUAUAUAUAUAUAUACGAGUAUUACACUCUUAAUCAAUCAAUUUUUGCGAUCCUCACACAAUAAAAGUUCUCUCUUCCACACUUUCUCCCUCUAUCGCUUGCACCUAUUGCUCAGAUACCUUUAUCGAAUAUGCAUGCAUGUAGUUAACCUUUCAUUGUAAAUCUUUACGUUACUUACACAUUUUCACUCCAUGAUAUAUACUACAAUGGCGUGUCAUGCUAUAUUAUUUGAAGAUUACCAACCAUAAAAGAAAAGAAACACCUAAAAUGGAAGGCUCAUUCAAUGGCAGGGAGCCAUGAAUAAUCUCAGCAACUAUAACGGUGUUAAACGCGAUCUCUAAACACACCUCCAACCACUAAUAAUAAUCACUGACCAAAUCUGAAAUCUCGGAGUGCAUUUCAAAAAAGAAAGUAAUGACCAAUAGAGCCAUGAAUGUACAAUUAGUCCCAAGCUAGGUAUUAUAAAUAAUGAGAGUAUGUGACAAGACUAACUCAGGCCUCCAAAUAUUUUCCUUUUUAGCUUUGAUUAGAGUGGCCUAGUUGUUGUUUUUCUCAAUGAGAAGGGCUUCCACUAUGCAUUGCGCACUUUGGCGCUUCUGUGUUCCCUUGUUGCUACUUGCUAGCUUCAGUUAUGCACCUUUUGUUUUGGCGACAACUGAAAUUUCAGGUCUGUGGCUCAUCCUAUUACUCACACAUUCAUUUUGUUAUACAUUAGUUUAUGAAAUAUGAUGUUUCUUUGUGUUAGUCCUUAAUAAAAAAAAAUUAUUCAUUUUAAUAUUUACAUUUAACAAAACAGUAUAAUCUCUAAUCUAAGGACUAAAAAAGAUUAAAUUUAAAUAUGGGUUAAUUUUAAAAAAAGUGUGGUAAUACCAAAAAGUAUAUAUAAGUGGCCGUAGUAGUUAGUACCUAUAUAUGAUCAGGUGUAGAAGAUUAGAUCCAUAUACUUGUCAUGCAUAUAAUUAGAAAUGAAAAUUUGUAUUAUUCAUGAAGUACUGUACGAAUUUCGCUGGCCUUCGUUUCAAGUAAAAAUUAAGAUCGACCCUUCAUACACAAGAUUCAGCCAAUGAAGGGUGCUAUUAAUUACUCUGACAGAUUUUAUUGUCUUCUGAAUUCAAUUCAAUCAUUUAUCUUGGCAUGCAGUAUAUGCGUGUGGAAUUAACUUGUGGUCUUCAGCGUGGCUCCCAUACAUAGACCAUGCAUAGUCCCCACAAAAAUAUUUUUGAAAAGAACUAUGGGGAUCCAGUACCUACCUGGUAGCUAGUUUUGGUCAUUAUAUAGCUAUUAUGAUUGGCGAUGAAUUUUUCAUUUUAUUUUUAUAUAUUUUUCUCUAUCAACACUUGAAAAAUAUCAAAUUUACUGGGUAUUACAAAAAUAUUUACUGUGUUUAACUUAUAUUUUCUUGUUUCUUAUUAUGUAGGGAAUGAAGUGAGCACUGAUGGAAAGGUUUUAAAUGAAGAGUUAGCAAAACCUAAUCUACAAGGACAUGAUGAAGAAGCAAAGUUUAAAGGAUUUAUUCCAAAGCCAAUUCCCAUAGUGAAGCCUAUUCCAAAACCAUUUCCCAUCAUUAAGCCUAUUCCAAAGAUAAUUCCUAUUGCUAAACCUAUUCCUAUUCCGAUUUAUAAGCCUAUAUCAAAAUCAAUUCCCAUUAUUAAGCCUGUUCCAAAGAUAAUCCCCAUUAUUAAACCAAUUCCAAUUAUUAAACCUGUACCAAAACCAAUUCCCAUUAUUAAGCCUGUCCCAAAACCAUUUAUAGUGAAAAAGCCUAUCCCUGUUGAGUCGGAGGAAUUUCUAAAACCAAAGCCUUUCUUCAAAAAGCCUAUUCCUAAACUACCACUUCACCCUAAAUUCAAGAAACCAAUUCUACCACCAUUGCCAAUUCACAAGCCAAUUCCAACUCCAUAAGAGGAUAAUACUCUAUAUCUCGAGCUAUAUAGUUAUCCGUUCCAUUUCUAAUGCCUUUAUAAGUAAAGCUGCAUCGUAUCUCAAUUAAAUUUCGUACUCUUCUCGUAUACUGUAAUGGAAAAUAAGUAGUUGAUGCUCUCUGUUCAAUGAAGUUCUCGGUGUUAUCAUGUGUAGAUCGAUUAUAUUAAUGCAAGAGAUUGUAUAUGCAGUUAUUACUUAUUAUUUAAAUAAUGUUUUUUAAUAGUUUUUCAGUUUUAUAUUUUAUGAAUAUAUACUUAAUUGUGAGAGAGAGUGGGGCUCAUCGAUAAAUGUAGCAAUUUCUGCGAGAGAUAUAUCUUAACAAUUACAUUUAUCAUGAAUAAUAUUACGACAAGUAAAUCACUAAAUUAGUUCUUAAAAUUUUAUAGUUCAAAUCAAACAUUUCAUUUAGUAAGAUUUUAAAAGCCCUCUGUUAGUCCUUCAGUUUAUAAUAAAAGCAAAAGAAAAUUCCUCUUCUGUAAUAUUUUAUCAUUAUAUCAUUUUGCACUAAAAAGAACUAAAGUGAAAAAAAUUUGCAAGAAAAUAAAAUCAGUAAAAUUUUUUUUUGUCAAAUUAGGGGAUUGACAAAAUUAAUUAAUUUAUAAGAUCAAAUAAAACUUACACAAAUAUUACUAAAAAGAAAAAAAAACAUCAAUUCAUAGUUUCCUGACAAUAAAUAUAUGUGUAUUUGUUUAUUUUGUACUCUUUUGUUUGUUAAAAGAAUUUAAUAGUAAAGUCUAAUUCAAACUUAUAAAACUAGGUUAAAUAUUUAUUAAUUCAUUAAACUUUAAAUUAAAUUUAAAACAAAACCGUCAACCACGUACAUGAGAUAAACUCUUAGGUAUCAUCUGUCGAAAUAAAUGGUGAUGUUUGAUAAUCUUUUUCAUUGUGCCUUUAAUGGCCCUAUCUAUUUUAGCUACAGUAGUUUAUCAAAUUUUCACCUCAUCAUUUUCGGCAUCUUUAGAGAUAAUUAUAAAAUUUUGCUUCUAAACAUUUGACAUUAAGUCAUUAAUUAUAACAAUUGAUAAAGCGUCAUAUGUACCACUCAUGUAUUCCUAUUCAGUUUGUUGUUUUUCACGUCAAAUGCUAUCAACUAUCAAGUAUGAUCUAGUCAACAUUAUGGGAUGAGACAAUCACUUCAAGCUGUCUUUGUCUUGAAUUGGGUUGCUUAAUUUGGGCCAUGUCAUUUUCUUGUUUGGUUCUUGAAAGGGAAUUACUUUGGGCACCCUACAGUUUUGCUGGGACACCCAGCACCCUAGGUGAAAGGGCCAAAAUGCCCUUCACCCUAUUAAUAUAAAUAGGGCUACAUUAAUUCUUUCGUCCUGUGCUUCUUCGUGCUACAGUAAUUCUGCCGUUCCGCCACAAUGCUUCUUCCUUCGUGCUGCGCUUCUUUCUCCUCGUGGUGGUCUCCUUCAUUCUCCUUCUACUUCUUCAUGUUGCGGUUCUUCUUCUUCAUGGUUGUGGUUCUUCUUUUUCCUCUUUCUCCACUUCCCGUGCGGCUAUGGUUUUUCUUCUUUCCUUCUUCUUCCUCCACUUCCCGCGCCCCUGUUCUUCUUCUUCCUCUCCAACAAAAAAAUGACAUUUUUCUAGGAAAACCCCAUAUGGAUAUGGUUCAUAUAGAUUGCUAAUUUGUAUGAGUUUUUUUUUUUUUUUUGUUGAAUAAUUUUGUUUCAAUUUUUCUUCUUCUAAAUUUGUUUUUUUUUAAUUUUUGAUUUUUGAAUUAUUAUUUAAAUUAUUUCGUAGUAUAAUGUUAUUUUGUAAUGUUAGUGAAAUUUUAUAAUUUUUUCUGAUUUAUAUGUUAAGUACUGAUUUUAUUUAUAAAAAAUAUAUUAGUUAUUACUAAGAUUAGAUUAGAUUGCUAAAAUUAAGAUUAGAUUGGUGAAACAAUUAAUUUUUAAUAUUGUUAUAUUAUAUUUGUCUAACUUUUAAAAAAAAUAAAACAAAUAUUUAAAAGAUAUUGAAUUUGUUACUUAUGAAAAAUAUUGAAAUCAUAAUUAAAAAUAAUUUAAAUUUUUUAGUUACAACAAACAUUUAAACAAAUUUUUUAAUAAUUUAAAUUUGUUAUAAAAAUAUUGAAACAUAAUUUUUAAUUGUACAAUAAAUCUGUUAGUUAUAAAAAUUAUGAAACCAAAAUUUAAAAUAUGAUAAGAUUUUUAGUUUAAGAUAAUGAUUGAAAUCAAAUAUGAAAAAAUAUUUGAUUUAGUAGUUAUAAAAAAUAUUGAAACCAAAAUUUAAAAUAUGAUAAGAUUGUUAGUUUAAGAUAAUGAUUGAAAUCAAAUUUAAAAAUAUAUUUGAUUUAGUAGUUAUAAAAAAUAUUGAAACCAAAAUUUAAAAUAUGAUGAGAUUGUUAGUUUAAGAUAAUGAUUGAAAUCAAAUUUAAAAAUAUAUUAAAUUUGUUAGUUAUAAGAAAUAUGAAAACCAAAAUUUAAAAUAUAAUAAGAUUGUUAGUUUAAGGUAAAAUUAAAUUUAAAAUAAUAUUUGAUUUUGUAGUUAUAAAAAAUAUUGAAAUUAAAAGUUAAAAUGUGAAAUAUGAUAAGAUUGAUAGUUUAAGAUAAUGAUUGAAAUCAAAUUUAAAAAUAUAUUAAAUUUGUUAGUGAUAAGAAAUAUGUAAACCAAAAUUUAAGAUAUGAUAAGAUUGUUAGUUUAAGGUAAUGAUUAAAAUUAAAUUUAAAAAUAUAUUUGAUUUUGUAGUUAUAAAAAAUAUUGAAACCAAAAUUUAAAAUAUGAUAAUAUUGUUAGUAUAAGAUAAUGAUUGAAAUCAAAUUUAAAAAUAUAUUAAAUUUGGUAGUUAUAAAAAAUAUUGAAACCAAAAUUUAAGAUUUAAAAUUUAUUUAUUAAUCCCUAUUAUUUAAUUUUUUCAAAAUUAUUUUUGUAGAAAUUUUUUAUUCAUUUAUUUUAUUUACAAAAUUUGAUAAUUAAAAAAAUCUGAUAUUUAAUUGAAUGAUGUAUUUAGAUUUUUAUUAUAAUGAUUAAAAAUUAAAUAAAUAUGAUAUUUAAUUGAAUGAUGUAUUUAGAUGUUUUUUUAUAGCAAUUGAUAAUGAAAUAAAUUUGAUAUUUUUUACAUCUGUAAAUACUUAUUAAACCUAUCAUUUUUAUUUAUAAUUUAUAUAUGUAAAAAAAUUAAUUAUUAUAUAAAAAUAAUCAUUACAAAAUUUAUUAUGUAAAUUUAAAUAUACAUUAAAUAUAAAUUAAAAAUUUUAGUAUUAUAUAUAACGACACUAUUUACUUAUAGCAUAAUAUGUCUAUUAGUUCAGUUGGUUUGAUUGUUAUAUUGAACCCUCUCUAUCAUACCUUUGGGAAAGUUAUUCUACUUACAAAAUGGAUCGUCAAUUCUAGAAGAAAGCAUAAAUACCUCCUCUCUAAUAUUUACCAACUUGAUCAUUAAGAACAAAGGCUCAAGACUCUUCAAUGUACUCUAAGCUUCUUUUUUUCUUUUUUUGCUAUGUAAAGACAACUUAUAUCAAUUACAAAAGUUAACUAGUAAUGAGCUAAAAAAAAAACAAAACUCUUCCCAACGUUGUAUUUUGUAAACGAAGAAAAUAAAUUAAAAUAUGCCAUGAUAAAGAAAAAGUUGCUGUCAAUAAUAUAAUAGAAGAUAGGAUAUCAUCAUCGUAAUUAUUGUAAAGUAGUGGUAUUUCUAAUGUUAUUUCUUAGUAUAUAAAGCUCAUCCAUUCAUGAAACCAUUUAUGUAUUUCAAGUAAUAUUUUCAAAUUCAGAUAAACAAUUAACUAAACUUUCUCCAAACUUACUCACCAAAUUAGUAUCAUUGUGUAUUGUUAAAUUUAUUAUACUACAUAAAUUUUUCAUCAUAUCCAAAUUAAUUUUUUAAUUGUUAUUAAAGAACUUUCUAAUUAUUAAAAACUAUGUAAGGACACAUUUUUGUAACAGAUCUACUUAGCAUUUUUUGAAGUUGUUUGAUUAUGUUAUUACUUCACCCUUAAUUUUCGAUUCUUUGGUUUUCAUGAAGGUAUGCAUUGCAGAAUGGAGGUGCAGUGGAAUUUUCACUUGAAUUUUUUUUACUGAAAAUGUUCACACAAUCGAAGACCCAUAAUUGCAUUUUUUAUUAUUUAAAUUCUCGAUCUCUCUUUAGCUUUAAAUUAAGGGUAAAUUUUCAUUAGUUAAAUAUAAUGUCAAAUAAGGAUAUCUAAACUUUUAUUUGCAAUGAGUUUCUUCAAUUUUACGUGAUGGGAUUGUUUGCAUUUAUUUUAAUUGUUAUGUUUUGUCUAUUUUGAAGUUCUUUAUUGGCAAUGUAGGACAAAUCUUUUCUUAUGUCUUGGAUUAUGUGUUAGACAGUAAGCAAAAUCUCAUCAUCAUCUCCAUUUAUUGCAAGUAUAUAUGCUUGCAAUAGCAUUAUGCUAUGUUAGAUGAUUAAAAGAGAUGUAUUCUAUAUAUCAAUUUUUAAAUCACUAAUAUAAAUAUGUUCAGAAGAGAUAUUUUUAUUUUAAAUAUAAGAAUAUUUUUGGAUUUAUUUUUUGGGGUCUUCAAAUGUGUGAUGUUACAUUUGGCCAUAGGAGAUAUAUAUGGAUUGAUGUGCUCCAAAUGGAUGAAGUCAUACAAGAAACACCUUUCUCUAAUCAUUCUCUUUAGAUCAUCUAUCAAAAUUAUUCGUUCCACUUUGAUUUUAACUUAGAGAUGUUGCUCCAAGUCAGCAUUUUCCUUUUCUCUUCAGAAUUAGCUCCGAAUCAAGUUCUUGUUGCAAGACUAUUUUUCAUCAAUUAAAACUAAAUAUUCCCAGCCUGCCAAGAAUGCCUUCAAGCUAUAUGUUAGAAAUUAGAAGUGUUAUUUCUCAUCUAAUUAAUACAACACAUCUCACAUAGUUUUAUGAACUUUUAGAAUGUUGGGAUUCAAUCAAUCAAUCUAAUUUGAUUCUAACAGGCAAUCAUCAAACUUAAUCACAUGUUUUCUCUUCAUGUAAAGAGAAAUUACUGUAUAAAGAUGAAUAGAACCCCUCUGUGUUCUCAUACUCAAAAUCUUGAUGAAAACUAAGCUGUGGAAGUGUACCUGGAUUAACCAUAGUGGAAUGAUGAUGAAAAGUUGAUCAGAAGAUUGAUUUUAUGACCUUCCAAAUGUAGAGAGUCUUUUUUUUUUUUUUUUCUUCUUCUCUUAAAGUUUUAUCUUUAUGAAGUGUACAUGUUGGUUUGACUUAAGUUGCUUUCUACAAAUGGGGACCAUAACCCCUUAAGCCCCUUAUCAAAUUAACAAUAUCACUAGUAUCUACACAAUUAACCUUUCAUGAUAUCCCCUAGCCAUAUUUUUAUAUUGAUUAGACCAUUUUAAUAUUUUGGCUAAUUAUAUAAUGACCCUAACUCAUCAAAUUAUGUGAUAUAAACCCAAAAUUGCUACUAUAAAAAACUUCUAAUUUUUAAUUUAAAGCAUAAAAGUCUGAAAUAUUUACGUUGUCACCUAAGACAAAAAAUUCAUAGACUACGUUUUGGCCUAACUUAUUUAGAAGAUGAUCAAAAGUACAAAAUGAAAAUUAUUACACUGUCAAGUAUUUCAGUCUUAUAAAGUUACUUUUAUGUUUGAUAUAAAUACUUUCUUGUGACAAAAAUAAUAUUUGUUUUAAUAAUCAUGUCGUGAGUUUGCUUCUGUUUUGUAGAUUAUAUUCCCUUUUAAAAGUACUGAAACAAGAUUGAGCAAAGGUGUUCCCACUGAAAGUUGCCCUACAUUUUAUCAUAUAAGCAGUCUUUCAGAGGUGGAAACUUUUUGUUUGUAAAAACAUUUGAUAUUUGAAUACAGACUCAGACUCAUAGGUACAAGAUUAUUCUAAUUAUGCAAUUAUGUAUAUAUAUAUAUAUAUAUAUAUAUAUAUAUAUAUAUAUAUAUAUAUAUAUAUAUAUAUAUAUAUAUAUAUAUUACCAAAAGAAAUCUCUCUCUCUUGGUUAUUUAAAGAUAUCCAUAAAUUUUAAAAUGUUGUUGAUAAACUAAGAGGGUCAAUAAUUGAGUGCCUACAAGAAGAACAUAAAGACAUUUUUAUUUAACUUGAGGUCCAAUUCCUAUUAUUUUCAUGAAGAAAUAAUUCUUCACCUACAGAUCAAAUUCAUGAUUUGACAGAGGGAUCUCAAGAUGACAAAGCCUUCUCCAGCCUUGUUCUUUUGUUGGUGCAAUUGUCUUUUAUUGGACAAACUGUCAUCCCAAAAACCAUCAAGGAGAAGAUCCUUAGCUAUCUAAUAUAUUACUUUAAAUUAAUUUUUUCUAUUUGUUAUUUACUUUAAAUUUUAUUUGCAAAUUGUGGUAUAUUUUAGUCAAAAGGUGAUUAUUUCCUUUAAAUUCACAGAAAAAGUCAUACAAAUUUUGUAUAUUUUAUGAGUAUUAUAUUUUGUUUUGAAAGAAAAACUUAAUAUAUCCUGUAGAUUUUUAACAAAAAUAAUUUACAAAUAGGUUCUCUAACAUUUUGUAUUCACCGAAAGUAUAAAAGUCAUAAAAAAACCAUGAAAAGUCUUAUUAAUAAAGUGGAAAAAUCUAUUAUAAUAUCAUAAAAAGGUAAUUAAUAAAAUAAUAAUUAACAUUUAAAUUAUAUAAUUAAGAGUUUAAUGCACAUUCGCAUAUAUACUGUCAAUUUAACAUUUGUGUUAUUAUUGCUAUGGUGAUUUGUUAUUAAAUCAUUAUAUAAAAUACGUUACACUUGUAAUGUAUAACUUAUUUUCUUUUUAAUUAAAUAUUGAAAAUUAUGCAUAAAAAUGAUACCAUUAAAACUAGUAUAUUUAAUUUAUAUCUUAUAAUUUUAAAUAUUUUGGCAAGCUAUGCUAUUGGUGGUUAGUGUUUAUUUAUGGUUAAUUCGAUAACUUCUUCAUCGGUGACCCCAAUAAUAUAUAUAUAUAUAUAUAUAUAUAUAUAUAUAUAUAUAUAUAUAUAUAUAUAUCAGUCAUUAUUGAUUAUACCAUCAGUAUAACACUCUUAAUCAAUCAAUUUCUGCGAUCCUCACACAGUAAAAGUUCUCUCUCGCUUGCACCUAUUGCUCAGAUACCUUUAUCGAAUAUGCAUGCAUAUAGUUAACCUUUCAUUGUAAAUCUUUACGUUACUUACACAGUUACACUCCAUGAUAUAUACUACAAUGGCGUGUCAUGCUAUAUUAUUUGAAGAUUACCAACCAUAAAAGAAAAGAAACACCUAAAAUAGAAGGCUCAUUCAAUGGAAGGGAGCCAUGAAUAAUCUCAGCAACUAUAACGGUGUUAAACGCGAUCUCUCUAAACACACCUCCAACCACUCCCAAUAAUAAUAAUCACUGACCAAAUCUGAAAUCUCGGAGUGCAUUUCAAAAAGAAAGUAAUGACCAGUAGAGCCAUGAACGUACAAUUAGUUCCAAGCUAGGUAUUAUAAAUAAUGAGAGUAUGUGACAAGAGUAAUUCAAGCCUUCAAAUAUUUUCCUUUUUAGCUUUGAUUAGAGUGGCCUAGUUGUUGUUUUUCUCAAUGAGAAGGGUUUCCACUAUGCAUUGCGCACUUUGGCGCUUCUGUGUUCCCUUGUUGCUACUUGCUAGCUUCAGUUAUGCUCCUUUUGUUUUGGCCACUGAAAUUUCAGGUUUGUCGCUCAUCCUAUUACUCACACAUAUUCAUUUUGUUAUACAUUAUUUUAUGAAAUAUGAUGUUUCUUUGUGUUAGUCCUUAAUAAAAUAAAUUAUUCAUUUUAAUAUUUACAUUUGCCAAAACAGUAUAAUUUCUAAUCUAAGGACUUAAAAAGAUUAAAUUUAAAUAUGGGUUAAUUUUAAAAAAAAGUGUGGUAAUAUAUACCAAAAAGUAUAUACAAGUGGCCGUAGUAGUUAGUACCUAGAUAUGAUCAGGUGUAGAAGAUUAGAAUGAAAAUUUGUAUUAUUCAUGAAGUACUGUACGAAUGUCGCUGGCCUACGUUUCAAGUAAAAAUUAAGAUCUACCCUUCAUACACAAGAUUCAGCCAACGAAGGGUGCUUUUAAUUACUCUGACAGAUUUUAUUGCAUGUCUUCCGAAUUCAAUUCAAUCAUUUAUCUUGGCAUGCAGUAUAUGCGUGUGGAAUUAACUUGUGGUCUAUUGUUGAGCGUGGCUCCCAUACAUAGACCAUGCAUACUCCCCACAAAAAUAUGUUGAAAAGAACUAUGGGGAUCCAUGCCAGUACCUACCUGGUACCUAGUUUUCUUCAUUAUAUAGCUAUUAUGAUUGGCGAUGAAUUUUUCAAUAUAUUUAAUUUUGUAUUUAUAUAUUUUUUUCUCUAUCAACACUUGAAAAAUAUCAAAUUUACUGGGUAUUACAAAAGUAUUUACCGUGUUUAACUUAUAUUUUCUUGUUUCUUAUUAUGUAGGGAAUGAAGUGAGCACUGAUGGAAAGGUUUUAAAUGAAGAGUUAGCAAAACCUAAUCUACAAGGACAUGAUGAAGAAGCAAAGUUUAAAGGAUUUAUUCCAAAGCCAAUUCCCAUAGUGAAGCCUAUUCCAAAACCAUUUCCCAUCAUUAAGCCUAUUCCAAAGAUAAUUCCUAUCGCCAAACCUAUUCCUAUUCCGAUUUAUAAGCCUAUAUCAAAAUCAAUUCCCAUUAUUAAGCCUGUUCCAAAGAUAAUUCCCAUUAUUAAACCAAUUCCAAUUAUUAAACCUGUACCAAAACCAAUUCCCAUUAUUAAGCCUGUCCCAAAACCAUUUAUAGUGAAAAAGCCUAUCCCUGUUGAGUCGGAGGAAUUUCUAAAACCAAAGCCUUUCUUCAAAAAGCCUAUUCCUAAACUACCACUUCACCCUAAAUUCAAGAAACCAAUUCUACCAUCAUUGCCAAUUCACAAGCCAAUUCCA
rnacentral:lncRNA from 1 species